UAUGAAGGCAAUUUUUAUAAUCAUAUAAAUUCAUAUCUGAAAAAAAUCAACCUGGUUGCACACUGCAUUCACCUUGCUGGAAAUUGUGUACGCAUGGAGAAAUAGAAGAUCAGUGGAUCAUGAAGUGAACACUAAAGAGAUCACAGAAUUAUGUGUUGAGAUGGCAGAGUCACAGGAUGGAAGCAGGAUGGAUCUUGAACCACCACCUGGAGGACAGCCUCUUUGGAGAUCAUUCCACCUGUAUCAGAUCUGAUUCUGGUGUCAAGAGGGAUCUGAAGGAGACCCUGACAGCCCUGGGGGAGCAAGUAAUGAGCAAAUCACAAAAGAACAAAGACUGCACUUGAAGCUCGUUGGAAGGGACCAUACCGGGCCGCUACCCAGAUGGCAGCCAAACUUCAGGGCCUGGAACCUUGAUCCACAUAUCCCAGUUAAGAAGGGCUCCUCCAUACUCUUGGAACUGCACACCAGGUGGAGAUCUAAAAUUAAAAUGGACCAGGGAGGUUCCUCCCCAGAAGCAGAUGACGCCUUGAGGUGGACAGCUCUCCCAAGAUCACAGACCAAGAUCUUCAUCUCCAAUAUGAAACCUUUAUUUCUUUUGCCUUUUCACUACUUGCCUUUUCUCUCUAUUAAUGCCUGAGAAGAUAAUGCUCCUUAACUCUGGCAACUACCACUGAAUGGACUGCUAAGGUCAUAGCUGCACAAGCAAGGUCCCUAGGCUUUCUUGUUAAGGGGGGGUUUAGAUAAUAGAACUGCUUUAGAUCACUUAUUGGCUCAAGAAGGAAAAGCCUGUGCCACAGCAAAUACCUCCUGCUGUACCUGGAUCAAUACCUCUUGUACUGUAGCAAAUACAAGGCAUUAGCAAAUGAUUCACAUGGCUAAAACAGGUUGAUGUUCCUUUUGAUAAAUUCGUUGGUGUAUUUGAAACCAACUGGUUUGCUUCCUGGGGGCCCUGACUACGGAACAUACUUCAAUCUCUUGAUAUCAUUCUCUUGAUAGUCACCAUUGUAGUCUCCCUGGUGCACUGUAUGCUCUCGGGGAUACACGUUCGUAGCCAUCAGCUGUACAUCAGAUGGUCUCACUUCACUUGGAGAAACAAACAAGAUGAACAGCAAAAACCAUUCUUCCACAAACCUGACAUCGUAACCUCUGAUUUUCAUGAUGAGACAGGACUGCUUAACCCCAAUGGUGACUGACAGUGACACAACUUUUUGACGGGUCCCUCACGUCUGAGAGGAUCACCAAAUGAAGGGAGUCGUUAAAUAAAUGAAACAAGGAGGCCAUGAGACUCAGGUGGCUCUAAUGCCUCAGCAGCCUACCUUCCUAAGCAAACCCAGAUCUAAGUGUGAAUGCCUCAAGAUUAAGAAAUCAAAACCUUAGGACAACCAGUCACAAACAUCCAACUAGCCUUUCCGAAAGAAUGCAACUGCUUAAAGCUACAGCCAAUCACAUAGUUUCCUUGCUUUGCUUCUACCUUUUCUCUAUAGAAAUCUUCCCCAGCUCCUGCUGGUAGAGCACAUAACCCCUUCUAAUCUGGUGCCACCCGAUUUGAAUCAAU